AUCGUCACAUCUCAUUUCAGAUCUUAUCACUAUGGAGGAGAAAGAAAUGUCUGAUAAUCAGUUAGGACUCAAGGAUUUGGAAGUGAUUUAUGAGAUGGAUACCUUGCAAAACAAUAAUGGGUGUGGAUCAUCGGCAUUUGAUUCUGCACAGUUUGCUGAUUCUGCACAGUUUGCAGAUGCUAAUAUUCCUUUAUUGGAUUCUAGUUCCAAAGAAGACCGAGCCAGCGACCUUCUUUUAGGAUUUUCUAUAUAUACUAUGAGAAGUGAAAUCAUUGAGCAUGCAUUUCGUGGCAUGGAUGAGUUGGCAAAGAUUGGCAUUGCAGAGCAACCUUUAUGGCAGCGACAGCAGGGAAACAGUGGCUGUGAGAUUUUGAAUGAUACUGAAUAUUUGAAGCAGUUUGGUGAGGUUGAUACCAUGCUAAGCGAGAUUGUUAAGUUGAUGGAGGUUGGAGAGUCUCAAAAUUUACCUAGUUUUGACACAUAUCAAACUGAG
rnacentral:sRNA from 1 species